UCUAAAUCGAAAUCAAUGUAUUAUUCAUUGAAAGAUAGUGCAUAUAUCAUUGAUUGUUAUAGUUGUAAAUAUAGACGAGAUUUUUAAUUAGUCGCUUAAUCAAUCGCACUCCGCGCAAAUGCAACUUUGCUCCGGAAAAACUGCAUUUGCGCAUGAGGCGACAAGUUACAAAAAUUCGCCUACCCGGACGCACAAAUCGAUGAGGAGUCUCACUUUCAAAUUAAAUUAAGAAAUCGUAUGCAAAUUAAUAAUUAAAAAUGAAUAUUUAGAAAAUUUCAUCAAGAUAUUUUGAAGAUGGUACGUAAAUAUCGAUUAUUUAUCAUACUGAAAUCGAAUCAACAUCUCUAUAUAUCGACUCAGUUUGAAUAUGAUGUUGUCUACUGGAUAUCAAUCAUUAAUAAUAAUCGAUAAGUUAUACGAUAUCUUUUAUAUAUCAAAUCGAUAUCCACAUUAAAAACAAAUAUGUUGAAAAACUGAAAUAUUUAGUACGAUACGUUCAAAUAAAUAUUGAGUUGGUUUAAUUAAUUCUUGAUUAAAAAAUUGGAAUGACUUGAGUGAACUAUACCUUUUUUUGUGCGAAUAAUUACUACAGUCACACAAAAAGUGUCAUGUCCCGUAUCCGAGAGAUUAGACCCAUAUAUUUUAAACUUCUGAAAUCGAAUAUGACCUCAGAAUUGCGCCAUCAGAUCAGGAUUUCUUUUUACCUUCAAAACAUUGCUAAACAUUCCUUAAAAUUACACUAUUCAGCCCAGUAAAAAAAACCUUGAUCUGAUGGCGCAAUUCUGAGAUCAUAUUCGAUUUCAGAGGAACACAUAGGUCUAAUCUUUCGAACACGACACUUUUUUUGUGUGGCUGUGUUAUUGAAUCAAUCCAAUGUUUAGUUGAUCGUAUAAGAUAAAAAAUUUUAGUCUUUUUUCAGUGUAUAGAUGUAAAGUGUCGAUAACAUGUCGUUUCUUUAUUAAUUUUCUUUCAAAGAUCAAUAAAAGAAAUACAGUUAUCGUCAAAUCAAACAGCCCGAACGAUCAUGAUCAUCGACUUGUGAACUUAUAACUACAUCAAUCAGUGACGUAUGUAGUGUCUUUCUAAUACACUGAUUUCACCUUUCUCUUAAGGGGGGAUUCUAGUGUAACGGGUCAAAAAAAUCGAAUUUUUUUUUUUGCAUAAAUUAAAAGUAUAACAUCUUAAAAAUACGCUCCUACAGUUUUAAAGUGGAAUUCGCAAAAAUAAAGAAGUUAUAGCUCUGUUUAGUGAGACGCGUCAGAGUUCCAAACAGCAGGCAGUCGACCGAUAGGUACAAGAGCCUAACGGAUCGAUAUUUAGGGUAGGCUAUUGUUAUGUUUGAAGAUCUGUCCAAAGAUGAAUUAUUACAAAGAUGUUUAGGUGGGUACACUUAAAAUUGUAACGAAAGUUUUAACGCAUGCAUUUGGCGUCUAGCUCCGAAACAUCUCCACUGUGGUUCGAAGACUAUAGAAAUUGCUGCUUAUCUGGCUAUCGCAAUAUUUAAUGAAGGUUUUUUCCAAUAUUAAAAAUGAUGGAAACAAUGGGCAUUAUUAUUGGACAACAGAGCAAAACAUUUGCCGAAUAUCAUAAUGACAAGCGACUAUUGAAUGCACACCGGCGUAGCUUAGAAAGCACUAAAGAGGCUCGUACAGCCAGAAGAAUGGAGAAAACGGUAUUACAAGACUUUUUUGAAGAAGAAGAAGGUUUAAUGUAUGGGGCCGGAAUAGCAGAAUAAACGUUCAAGUCGAUUUUUCAGCGAUAACCGGGAGGAACAUUACAACGCCCGCCAAUGGACGGGAAAUUUCAGAGAGGGGUCCAGAUUAUUUAUUAUAUAUUGAAAUUAAAUAAUGCAAACUGAAAAUAAUUAAAAUUUUUUGAUACCGUAAGAAGGUCUCUUUUUAUCCCAAAAAGUUUUAUUUGGCUAUCAUUAAUAGUUUUCUAGAAAAAAAUCGCUUAUUUUUUGGCCUGUUACACUAGAAUCCCCCCUUAAUCGAAAUCACUGAAAGACAGUGAAUAAUUAUCGAUGAUCACGGUACAGCACAAUCAGAGUAAAAUUUCACUGCUUCGGAUUUAAAUUAUGCCAUGCAUUUGCUGGAAUUUAUUUCCUCUGGAAGUGAAUCGUGAAAAUGGAAGAGACAGAUGCGGAGAUCGAUACGGAAGACUCAGACAUGUCUCACGCUCGUGCAAAUUGUUUAACCUUGCAGAAAAUUAUCAGCGUGGACGUGCAAUGCAACCAAUGAGUGGCGCGCACUCGCGCCACCGAUAACGCGACGCUAAUUGUCACGCUGGCCUUUAACUCGUUUUGCCGCUAGCGUGACAGGUCACACAAUCCGUCUGGUAUCUUUAGCCAAUGUGAAAUUCAGCGGCAUUAUCGUGCGAAAGCUGUUACGGCGAGAUACGCCAGAUAUUGAUGAGGAAAUGUU